rnacentral:piRNA from 2 species
UGGAAAAGAAAACUUCCAAGGUCAUAUUUUC